AGGAUCACUAUAGUUUCGAGUGUCUAAGCGUGUGAGAAUUGUGUUGUGUGUUCUUCCAAAUGAGGAAGAGUGUGUUUGAGAGUUGUGUCGUAUGUCGUGUGUGUUCUUCCGAAUGAGGAAGAGGGGUAUUUAUACAAGUGUAGGUGACUUAUUUUAGGUAAAAGGACUAAUUAUCAGCUCAUUACCCCUUUAGAAAUAAAGACAAUCUAGCCUAAAUUGCUGCCCAUGAAUCAAGCCAUGUUUCCAUAUCCUGUGCAACGUCCUUCUUCAAUUAAGCUCUUGCCAUAUUUGUGAAGACGCGUCCCUGGAUCAUGAUGUCUAGAGCAUAUCCUGCUAGAUGGUCCUGCAAAACAAUAUUGUAUUAAGCGGAAGUGGCCGUUAGUAUGAGGAUCACCAUAAUGUCCCAUGAUCCUGAUCCUGGAGUCCUGCCGAGGAUCACUG
rnacentral:lncRNA from 1 species